rnacentral:rRNA from 1 species
UAAACAAUAAUAAUUUUUAUAUAAAAUUUCCCGAAAUAAAAAGAUCUAAAAAGUUAUGAGGUGUAGUAACUAAAGUUAAAUGUGUGGCAUAAUAUAACUUUAACAACUUUUUAGUGGAGAAAUUCCGACAGUUUUUAUGAUAACUGGAUUAGGGGGAAAAGUAUUAAGUACUAAAGACAAUUAUAAAGUGAUAAGAUUUUAUAAUGAAAAAAUAAGAUGUUAUUAAUAGUGCCAGGGUUAACCCCCUAAAUGUUUAUUGUACAAUAUCAUUUUUUAAAUAUAUCUUUUUAUUAUUAGCCCUUAACUUUGGAUAAUUAGUAGACCAUAGUUUAUAAUGUUUAAAUUAGUAUCUCUUCUUAUAAUUUUUAUUAAGGAAUUCGGCAAAUUUUUUAUUCGACUGUUUAUCAAAAACAUAGUCCGUUGGUUUUUUUAAUGGAUAUUGACUGCCCGGUGAUAUAUUUAACGGCCGCAGUACCUUGACUGUGCGAAGGUAGCAUAAUAAUUUGGCCUUUAAAUGGGGUCUAGGAUGAAUGGAUUUACGAAUAGCAGCUGUCUCAAAUUUUAAUUAAAAAAAACUUACUUAAAAGGUGAAAAUUCCUUUGUGUAUAUAUAAUAGACGAGAAGACCCUUAGAAUUUAGUUUAAAGUAGGAUGGUAUUCUUAUUUUAAUUUUGUUGGGGCAACAAAGUAGCAGUAAAAUCCACUUCUUUAUUAUAAUUAAUGGGCCGACUAUUUGUAUGAAAAUAUAAAUUACCUUAGGGAUAACAGCAUAAUUUAAUAAAGAUUGUGACCUCGAUGUUGGAUUAGGGCCAUAAUAAUUAAGUCAAUUAAUGUGAUAGUUCUGUUCGAACUUUGUAACCUACAUGAUCUGAGUUCA